rnacentral:tRNA from 1 species
GGCGGCAUGGCCAAGUGGUAAGGCAGAAGCCUGCAAAGCUUUUAUCCCCCAGUUCGAAUCUGGGUGCCGCCU